GAUGAACGCUGGCGGCGUGCUUAACACAUGCAAGUCGAACGGAAAGGCCUGCUUUCCCCUGUGGAUUGGGGGUACUCGGGUGGGUAACGGAUGAGUAACACGCCAGUGAUCUGCCCUCAACUUGCGUAUAAGCCUGGGAAACUGGGUCUAAUUACAGAUAGGACUGCAGGGUGCUGCCUGUGGUGGAAGACUUGUUUCUAGUGGUUGGGGAUGACCUGGCGGCGUAUCAGCUUGUUGGUGGGGUAAUGGCCUACCAAGGCGACGAUGGGGAGCCGACCUGAGAGGGAGAGCGUCGACAGUGGAACUGGGACACGGUCCAGGCCCCUACGGGAGCGAGCAGUAGGGAAGGUUACUAAAGGGGCGUAAGCCUGAGCCAGCAACGGCGAGGGAGUGAGGAAGGUCUUCGGCUUGUAAAUCUCUGUUCUUAGGGAAGAAGAGGUGGCUACGUAGUUAGGAGGGUGGUGACGGUACCUGAAGAAGAAGCACCGGCUAACUACGUG
rnacentral:rRNA from 1 species